rnacentral:rRNA from 1 species
GACGAACGCUGGCGGCGUGCUUAACACAUGCAAGUCGAACAGAAAGGCCCUGCUUUUGUGGGGUGCUCGAGUGGCGAACGGGUGAGUAACACGUGAGUAACCUGCCCUUGACUUUGGGAUAACUUCAGGGAACUGGGGCUAAUACCGGAUAGGAGCUCCUGCUGCAUGGUGGGGGGUGGAAAGUUUCGGCGGUUGGGGAUGGACCCGCGGCGUAUCAGCUUGUUGGUGGGGUAGUGGCUUACCAAGGCUUUGACGGGUAGCCGGCCUGAGAGGGUGACCGGCCACAUUGGGACUGAGAUACGGCCCAGACUCCUACGGGAGGCAGCAGUGGGGAAUAUUGCACAAUGGGCGGAAGCCUGAUGCAGCAACGCCGCGUGCGGGAUGACGGCCUUCGGGUUGUAAACCGCUUUCGCCUGUGACGAAGCGUGGGUGACGGUAAUGGGUAAAGAAGCACCGGCUAACUACGUGCCAGCAGCCGCAGUAA